rnacentral:lncRNA from 1 species
UUCUGCUUUUCUCUCAUUUAUUUAUUUGUUAAUUCAAUCAUUUAUUUAUAUCAGUAUGGGCUCAUGGAUAUAUAUGCUAUACUUUUAGUUAUGUUUCAAUGCUACAUCAUUUAUUUGGUUGCUCAAAUUUUUCCAGCUUUGGACCUGGGAGCCCACUCAAUGGACUCCUGCUCCCUGUGACAUACGCACUCAUCACUGUGUGUGUUUCUCGGCACUUCCUUACUUACAGGUACUAAGAGAUGCUCCAGGCCCUUCUUGCAUAUUUCCUGUUCCAGCCUUAGAAUCAGCCAUAUUUCCAAGGAGCUGCAGUUUCUUUUAUUAGAGAAUGGUGUGAGGAACCAAGAUCUGGGCAUUGAAUGUGUAAGCUGGGUUUUAAAGGACAGUGGACAAUAGAAAGGAACAGGAAUGGCAUUUGGAGUAGAAAGCUUGGCAUAAGCAAGUAUCCUGAGAAUGAAGAAAAUGAAUUCUAUGUGGGGAAGAGCAUAUACCUAGAUGGAAGCAUUUACACUGGUGAAAUAAAUCUUUCAGGCUUUAGGUCCAGACUGAAGUGUAAUAUUAUCCCAUCCCCCAACCCAUUUAUUCAUCACCUUUCUUCACAAUAGCUUCACCUUUUACCCAUUAGCUAAUGCAAAAGUCCUGGGAGCUAUUCUUUACUUCACUCUCCCUUUCCACUCAUAUGCAAUCAGUGAAAAAUAUUUCUUGAUUCUGCCUCCCAAUAAUUUUUAAACCUGUCUUCCACUGUCCAGAGCCACAUCUCCUGGCCAGGUACCUUCAAUGGUGGGUAAACCAGUUCCAACAUCCCUGGCAGCGUCUUCUCCCUGCAGCAGCCUUGCCACCUCUGGUGGUAUUCUCUACCAUGAUCAAGGCCAUUGGGCUUCCCAUUGAGUUUAAGGUGAAGCCUUCUGAGGCUGAUGGGCUGGGUGUGAUCUUUUCCUCACCAACCUGUCUACCUGACUCUCUGUUUUUGUAACCUGAGAUCCCACAGCAAGAUCUUCCAUCACUCCUCAAUCAAGCAUUGCAGUGGGACCUUUGGAGGAUGUGGCCUUUGUCCAGAUGCUUUUGCCUUAUCUGGCCUGGCUACCUGGUAUGACUAACUUCUUUCCAUUUUUGUUUUGCUGUCACUGCCUUGGGAAGACUUGUUUGCUCCAUGGUCAAGUAUGAUCCUCAAUACAGAUUCUCACACCAUACUAGGAGAAAAUGGGCCCAUAUUUUCAAUUUGUUGAUUCUAUUUAAAAUUUAUUCAGUAAAUACUUGCUCAGCAUUUAACUGUAUACUAAGAGGGUGUUCAAGGCGCUAGGCAUAGAGCAAUGAAAUGACAGAGUAAGAACCCCCUCCUCUUGGAGCUUAUAGUCCGAUGAGGAAGGCAGAAAACGUGUUGAGCAUUCAUCUGAAAAUCCAAAAUCUCAAAGGCUCCAAAAUCAAGCUUUUUGAGUGCCAGUGUCGCAGGUAGAAAACUCCACACAGAAUUACUUAACACAAACUUUGUUUUACACACAAAAUAUUAAACAUAUUUUAAUAUGAAGAUAUAUAUGAAACAAAUGAACUUUGUGUUUAGACUUAAGUUCCUUUCCCAAAAUGUCUCAUUUAUGUGUAUGCAAAUAUUCCUAAAUCUGAAAUCGCAAGCGCUUCUGGUCCGAGGCAGUUUGGAUAAGGGAUACGCAACAUGUAGCAAAUACAUAAAUAUGAUAUUUAGUAUAUCUGGAGCUGAUAAAUACUGUGGAGGAAAAAGGCAGGGGAGGCCAACAGGUGUGCAUGGAGUUGGGGGAGUCUUACAUUUACGUGGGUUGAUCAGAGAAAGCUUCAUUCAGAAGGUCGAUGCAUAAGCAAAGACUUGAAGGAGGGGAAGGAAGAACCCAUGCAGGUAGGAGGGGAAGAGCAUUCCAGGCAGAGGCCUGAGGGAGAGGUCGUGCCUGAUGAGCUCCAGAACAGCCAAGAAAUUUGAGUUUGAUAUGCCUGUGAAGCACAGAGGUCUAGAUAUCCAGUAGACAAUUUAUGCAUGACCUUGAGUUUAGGGUUGGAAACUUCAGGCUGGAAAUUGGGAGUUGUCACCUACAGAUGGCAUCUGAAGACAGGAGACUAGAGGAAGUCUCAGGAGGCUAAAUGUUCAGUGGCUGAGCUCUGGGACACCUGAGUUCUUUAGACUCAGAAGAUGAUAGUGGACCAGCAAAGGCACUGAAGAAUAGCUCGGAGGAAAACCAGGUAGGUCUGGUGUCCUGGAAACCACAGGAAGAAUGAGGAAGUGACCCACUACUAUUAAUUAGUACCAUCAUGUACAUGGGCACAUGUAUUUACAAUGUGCCCAUCACUGUUCUGAGUCUUGUAUGUAUAUUAACUCGUUACAUCCUCAUAAUCCCUAUGAGGUAUUUUGUUUUAUUAUCUCUGCUUUGCAAAUGGGAAGUCAGGCCCAGAGGUAAAUAAACUUGUCCAGUCACAUAGCUCACAAGCACUGGAGCUGGGGUUUGAAUCUGGACCAUCUAGUCUCAGGGUCAUUGGUCUUCAGCACCACAUCAUGUGUGCCCAAACACUGCAGGUGCAGGUGGAAAAGCUCAGCGCUGAGACGAAGCACUGUGGAUAUCUUCGGUGAGCUUAAAAGAGAAGCUUGGAGUGAGUCCUGGAGGAGAUAGAAUGAUUAGGGGCAGUCGAUGAGGCACGGGAGGAGAGAUGGUGAAGAUAGCAGCCAGAGACAACUCUCAUGAAUAGCUUGGCUGUGAAGGGGAGUGAGAAACGUUAGGAAGACUACAGGGAGAUGUGCAAUCAAAGAGGAAUUUUAGGAAGAAUGUUAGAAAUUAUGGUAUGUUUGUAGAUGGGUGGGACUGAAAGGGUAAAAAGGAAAAGAAUAAUGACCUAGGAGGAGAGAAGGUGAACCUUGCAUUUGUAACUGUGAUCUAGAGAAGAGAGAAUGUGAACCCUGCAUUUGUAACUGAAAAAUUAUUUGCUGAGCUGCUUAAUGUCAGUGAUCUCUGCCAAAGUAUAAACUGCUAGGGUUGGGGGAUUUUAGAUUUCCAGGUGCUGCUGUGGCUCCAUGUGCUCCACGUCCUUGCCUGGUGAAUGGGGGAAGGAAUCAUGCCACUGAUGAAGGUCAAAGCAGGGCUCCUGGUGCCCUGAACCUCCAUACCUUCCUGCCCCACCGCUGCCUGCAGACCCAGCUUUCUGCUCGCAGCCUGGGCAUGCCUUCUGCCUGUAUCCUCCCAUGAAGGCCAACUCCAAACCCACCAGGCAUUGCUGAGGAGUAAGUGGGAGGGAGAAGUCACAUGGCACAGGAUGCCGUGAAACUGCCCCAGAGCCCUUGGAAGUCUCCCCGGACAGCCACUUCACGCCUUUCCCUGGUUCCCAAACCUCAGUCCUGCCAGCUGCCUGGGCUCUACCUCUAUGCCACUGCUCCACAGGCUGCUUGGCUCUAUUCUCACUGCCCUUUGUUUCCCAGCCUUGGGUCAGGGACAGACCUCCAUCCAUUUCAUGGGAAGACUCCCUAAGGCCCAGAACUUCUCCAUCUCAGAGGGAUGAAUGGUGGUCAGCAGAGAUGCUUUCAGGAGUGAGGGAUCAGAGGCUCUGGGAAAUGCCUCACCAUUUCACAGAAGCCCUUUUCCUUCUGCCAACCCCCCAGGGGCAUUUAUAAAAUUCCAGAGUGAGAUUGAGAAGCUGAACUAACUCACCUGCAGGGCUGGGUCUCCCCCACCAGGCAGCCACAAUAGCCUGCAAGGCAUCUGCUGAGUGUGGGAGAAAUGCUGCUUUUCAACGUAGGUAUGAGGGCAGAACUCAUGCGUGUUUGUCAAAAAGGCCUCCCACAGUUUUUGAGGCAUCACACAUACACCUACUCACACUCCCCCAUGGAGGCAUGCUCUCCUCUCUCACACACGCACAUGCACGCAGGGACUCACACAUAUCACUCAUCAUGCCUCUCUCCCCUCCCCACACCGAGCUACCCUGCCGGCAGCACAGAGUGAACAGCGCCGUGCACCCAUCUGGGCCUGACCUGCCUACAUUGUUAGCCUAAAAUACUUUUAUCUGCGCAGCAGAGAAAAAGGAGCACAGACCUCACAGACAGACAGAUUGGGCUCAACAUGCACCUGGGCCUUGAGGAGAAUCUGCCUGUGCAGGGAGGCUCACAUGCUGACCGCGAGCAGACGGAACAAUCCUCGUUUGUUCAUGGAGAAACAAGACCACGGGUGACUCUGGGUAACUGAGACCUCAGGAAGUGAAACCUCAGAUAAAGGUGUAAUUUUUCUGAGCUGUUAAAAAUAUAACUGGGAAGAUAAACAGAAACUCCAAGAAUAUCUUAUCUGCGUUGAUCCACCAGUGUGUGUCUGUGACGGAGGCCUGAAUUGUAUGCUGCCAUGUGGGUGGCCAGAGAGAAGGUGAGCCUACGGUGGAGAGCAGUCCUGUGGUAGGAUGACAGGGAGGAUGGAAGCAGCACUGGAGACCUGGGAGAACUGGGAUGCCUGUUUGGAGAGAGGGUGUGGCGUUGGGCAGGUAGGUAGAGGGAAGGUCUCUGUUCAGCAGCAUAGCACAGCACAGGGGACACGACCCAGAACUAGGGCCAUGUGCUAUGAACUGAUGGGCAGCUCUAAUUACUUUUCUAAAUUUUGGGCCCAGUGACAUUUUCUUUCCUGCCCCAUGGGUCAGGUUGGUUUUAGAAGUGAGACAUUUAUUUUAUUCUCCUUCAAAAACAAACUUUACAUCAUUGAUCUGCCACUAAAAAAUGUUUGUGUAAAAUUCCUGCCUCGAAGCCAGUGCCUGUGACUCAGAUGGCGUGCAUUUCAAAAGUCUCUCAACAUAAUUUCACAUAAAAAAGAAACAUCUUACGUUGGGCCAACUCUGCUGAAACCAACUGCCUUGUAUCACUAAUAUGUAGCUGGAUUGAUUCAUGAUGUACAUCUUCAAAGACCUGGAUAAUCAUCUUUGUUUGCAAAUUCCUUAUUAACAUGGAGAUAAAUGCUAUCAUAAAUUUGAACUUUUAUAUUAUGAGCUGAAUUUUUUGGUCUUUAAAAUUUAUUUCCAGAAUAUUCGAUAGCAUGACUCUAAGGCUGGAUGGCUCUUUCCCAACUGGACACGGUUUGAGAUUUUUUUGUCUCCUUUUUCUUCAUGCGAGAUGAUAAACACUUAAUAAGAAGAUGGAACUUAUGGAAAGUAGCCAGAAGAAAAUAGCAUUCUACCGAUGGAAUUCCACUUCAGAUGCUGUGCUGGAAAGAAAUCCUCAUCCUGGGCUCCUUUUGCCUUUUGAUGAUGGCUUUAAAAACUGUGAAAACAGCGAAAGCCAAGUGUGUGGUCUUCAGCAAUUUCGUAAUAGUCUGUGCAGGAGACAGAGGGGGCGGUGGUUUGCUGGAAAAAAUGAUUAACUUUUUCUUUACGAUGACAGAAAACAGUUGCAAUUCAAAAAUGCCGAGGUUUCUGCAGCCCUCCCUUUUGGCAAAUUGUUAGGUAAUCACUUCUUCCAGGUGGCACUUUCAAUAAAGACCUUGGAAAGUCACGCCCCUUCCAGAGAUGUCCUCAGGGCAGAGCCAUUGUCAACUGGGAGAAACUUGUAGAAUGAGUGAGGGCAGGGUUAGAGGAAAGGCUCUAAAUUUUUCUUGUUGGGGGUAGCGGGGUAGAUUUGCUGUUGAUUUCCCAGAGUGGGUUCCCAUGCCUCAGUCUUGGUCUAAUGCGCGUUACAGUCUGCCUCUCAGCUUCUCCAGCAGAACCAAGGGAACCCUCCUCACAUCCUAUGAUUAUAUUUGUUAUUAUUUACUUUAAGUUAUCCCAGGAAGCAGCAGGCCCACCCUAAUUGAGAGGUCUGUCCACAUACAAGUCAGCUUAGUAAAACAGGUUCUAAUUAAGUAAUUACCUUGAUUAAAAUAUACCAACCAUUUUUACUUUUUAAUAAACAUUUCCCAAGACUGGAUUUUAUCCUGUUAUUUUGGUAGAAAUUUGUUUAACCUGGUGUGGAACUGGAACCCAGAGCUAACACUGUCCACCUGUGGAUAUGUGUGGUUUCCCUUAUUUGUAACAUGGAGUAGAAACAUAGCAGAUGCUCUGCAAGGUGCAGGAAAAGCCAGGUGCAUCUAUCAGGUCAAUUCAAAGUUCCUUUUUGAGUACAGUGCUGGACUUAGGUCAUGUAGAGGCAUAAAAGCCAAUUUAACUGUGCACAGUCCAGUAAGGGACAGACAUUUGCAAAAGUAUAUCAAUACAUGAUGCAAAUGUUAAGCUAGAGUUACGCACAGGUGCUCUAGAUAAUUGUGACAUUUGAAGGCAUGUAUUUUGACUACAUUGGUCAUUCCUGUGGUAAACUGACAAGGAUUGAGCCCUGCUGAGGUACAUGGUCCUUGCAGACACUUGAGUCCUGGAUAGUAUGCAAGUAGAUAAAAGAGAAUCCCUGUGACUCUACCCCAGUGACUCUACCCCAAGUCGUCAAGAUGUGGGCAUCACCUGACUCCAUCUGGUCAGCCUCCUAGCAGAGGAGGCCCUUUUCUGUUGCUGAAUUUACAACUGCUUCAUGCCCAUUGGCUCCUUGGAAAUUCAAUCCCAAUUCAUCUAAAACUCCUCAGGGUCAAAAUAGUUCCUGAAAAUGAAUUUUGCUGAAGCUUGCUUUUGGGUGCCUGUGACUUCAAAUCCUUAUCCUCUGCAUCUUCAAGAUUCUGGUCUGGUUACUUAGGCAAAUUUCUCAGUAGCUCUGGAAAAUUCGCAACGAUUUAAACCAUUUUUUUUCUUUAGCCUCUCUGGGACCUAUGACUCUUUGCAUGUUGAGGUUUUGAAUUCCUUUGCAUGACAAAUUCUCUGGUGGUUACAACAGAGAAGAAGGAAGAGAGGUGAUCAGGGUCUCAUGAGGAAAACCAUACCUAGAUAGUUUGCUCAAAGAGAGUGCUGUUAAUUCAAAGAGGCUGGUCUUCCUGAGAGAUUCCUUAACCCAAGGCAAUUCAAAAGUUGGUGUUUGAGUGUGCGAGAGAGGCCCCAUGUUAUGAAGGCAUGUCAGAAAAAUGAUUAUGGCUGGGUAUUAACUUGAGAUCUAGGCUGUGAAAGAACAGUAGGUUUUUUUUUUUUUUUUC